rnacentral:misc_RNA from 1 species
GAAAUGCGAUAAGUAAUGUGAAUUGCAGAAUUCCGUGAAUCAUCGAAUCUUUGAACGCACAUUGCGCCCCCUGGCACUCCGGGGGGCAUGCCUGUCCGAGCGUCAUUUCUGCCCUCAAGCACGGCUUGUGUGUUGGGUGUGGUCCCCCCAGGGACCUGCCCGAAAGGCAGCGGCGACGUCCGUCUGGUCCUCGAGCGUAUGGGGCUCUGUCACUCGCUCGGGAAGGACCUGCGGGGGUUGGUCACCACCAUAUUUCACCACGGUUGACCUCGGAUCAGGUAGGAGUUACCCGCUGAACUUAAGC